AUUGAACGCUGGCGGCAUGCUUUACACAUGCAAGUCGAACGGUAGCAGGGCGUUGGGUGCUGGAGUGUGGCGCACGGGGGUGUAAUGUGCCGGAAAGUCCGCCGAGUAGGGGGAUAACGCGUCCGAAGACGGGCUCUAACAGCACGUGCUCUGAGGGUGAGAGCGGGGGAGAGCGUCGGACCGUUUGCUCUCGGGUCAUUGGAGCGGCGGAGGUCGGAUUAGCUAGUUGGUGGGGUAAAGGCCUACCAAGGCGACGAUCCGUAGCUGGUCUGAGAGGACGAUCAGCCACACUGGAACUGAGACACGGCCCAGACUCCUACGGGAGGCAGCAGUGGGGAAUAUUGGACAAUGGGCGCAAGCCUGAUCCAGCCAUGCCGCGUGUGUGAAGAAGGUCUUCGGGUUGUAAAGCACUUUUGGUAGGGAGGAAACGCAGUCCGCUAAUACCUUGCUCUAAUGACGGUACCUGCAGAAUAAGCACCGGCUAACUUCGUG
rnacentral:rRNA from 1 species